UCCCCUGUGGCCCAGCUGGCUAAGGCGUCCGACUGUUAAGCAUCAAUUGCUACACAUAAUCGGGAGAUCCACAGUUCGAUCCUGUGCGGGGGAG